GCUCCGGGGAGAAGCUGGCGGCUUUUGGCGUCUGCGCUGCUGCUGGAGCAGAUUCUCUGCCUCAUAUUCCCUGCUGCUAAUACCUCCGGGUGCCAUCUAGACAUUUCAGCCUGUCUUGCCGCUCUCUCCACACUGUUUUGGGACUGCCAGCUCUAAGAAUUGUUGCUACGACAUUCGACUAAAGCCGGGAGGUCAAAUAGUAUUUCUUUGGAGGACUCCACAUUUAAGAUUGGGGUGAUAGCAAAUGCUGUGAGAAACAAAGCCACUGGUGAAGGUAUAUUGAGUCUGGACUAGUCUGUUGAGGUUAUUAGAGAAUUCGGAGAGGCUCAAAUCGGUAUCCUAUAUAUGCAUAGUUAUCAAACCACUGUGGAAUCUUGGAGGCUGAUCCAGCUGAGUUCGGGGAAGGUAA